UGGAAAGACCACAAUAAAACAGUACAUAAUUGAUCAAGGUGAAAUAUGAGGGACAAAGGGGGGAUUUACAUUUUCAGUGGAAUAAAAGAUUCCCAAGAAAGAAACUCAGUUAUUGUUAUAUUUUGAAAUUGCAUGGAGAUAACUCCACCAGUGUGUGCACACCAAGGUAAGCCGGGAAUAAAGCUUCCAUGAGAGAGAACCAAACGACCACAGAGGUAGUCAUCCAACAAUAUGGGUCUCUGGCAGACAUGGCAGCAGAAGGAAACAAGACACAAGCUUCAGCUGGACAGGGGAUUGUAUGGCACACAAAGAUAUAAGCGGUGCAUGAUAUAGUAUUUUGACCAACUAUGCAUCGGACCAGUCUGAGUGUUUAAACAUUCAUCAGUAGAUCUGGAUCUGUUUCUGAUUGAGCACAGUAUUUUUUUCUGCAAACACUGAUUUGAUCACUAGCAGCGAAAGUCUAGACUGCUAAAGUCUCCUUGAAUAUCAAACAUCUUCAUACCUUUCUUCCUCGCUUGUGGUCGCAGUCUCAGAGUGCUCUUCCGGUCAUCCACCCUGAAGCGUGUCCUCUGCACCUGUUCCGGCUUUAUCAGCUCCCGGGUCACACACCGCGGCGGUCAAAGGCCCGAUCAGCUCCGCACACACACGUCCUCUGUUUGAGGGACAGCGACUGAACAAGGUUCCUCGUCGUGCAGUCUCUGGCCUCCGCGCUCAGCCUCACACAGGUCAGGUGUGAGAGAAUGUGCCAGCUCUCUGACACACCGAGUGUCCGCUCACCUCAGCUCAGAACGUCCUCCACGGCAGAUUUCACAAUGAGUCUUAUCGAGGGAAGUUCCCUGGAAACCUCUCUCUCACUCGGCAGAACUUCAUCAUUGUUUCAUUGUCCACCAGUCUGCAACUUUUACCAUAAAUUCGUUGCCCACAUCAUUGUCACAACCAGGGCCGGCUCGAGGCAUAAGCGAACUAAGCAGCUGCUUGGCCACCAGGGGAACCCCAAUCAAGAAUAUUAUUUAUUUAUUUAUUGAAAUAUUAAAUGAAUUAAACAAGUGACAUAAAUGAA